rnacentral:ncRNA from 1 species
GCUAUAAUUAAUUUAGAUUGAGAUGCUGGUGUAGAUGUUGACAAGCUGCCAGCAGCCCUCGCACGGACAGAGAAGCAAGGAUACUUGUAAUCGUUCCCGUUGAGAAAUCUGGAUGCUGUAAAAGGCAAAGCGAGUAGGCGUACGAUCAUUUCGAGAAGUCAAAAGCUAACAAAGCGUGGUCGGAAUAAUAGACGCUCCUGUGGAGAAUAACCUAUUAGACAGCUCUUUGGCAAGGGUGUGAAAAACUUGAUAGGAAAGCCAAACAAUCCGAUUCGUAGUGAAGAGAUUAAAAUCUCGUAUAACACGCUAUGUUGAACAAGUAGCCCAAUCUACGUUUGAAGAUAAUUCUUUCCGAAUGGCAUUUAUUCAAAAAGAAAAAUCCGAAAGCGGGUGAAAGUUAGAGGUUUCAAGCCUCUUGUCUCAACGGGCAGCGGCGUUUGAGUCGUUGUCGGGCUUAACUGCAUUAGGGUAGCUCCUUAAUGCACGGGUUAAGUUCGGGUAUGGCCGAAGAUGAUGAGUCGGAUGAUUGUAGGGUGAACAAAAGCCCCUCAAUCUUUUUUUGUUGCA